GAUGAACGCUGGCGGCGUGCUUAACACAUGCAAGUCGAACGGAAGGGCCCUGCUUUUGUGGGGUUCUCGAGUGCCGAACGGGUGAGUAACACGUGAGUAACCUGCCCUUGACUUUGGGAUAACUUCAGGAAACUGGGGCUAAUACCGGAUAGGAUCUCCUGCUGCAUGGUGGGGGUUGGAAAGUUUCGGCGGUGGGGGAUGGACUCGCGGCUUAUCAGCUGGUUGGUGGGGUAGGGGUUUACCAAGUCUUUGAAGGAUAGGCGGCAUGGGAGCGUGGACGGGGUCCAGACGCCUGCGGGAGGGCGCAGUCGGGAACGGGAGGCAACGGGGGGGAACAUUGCACAACGGGCCGACGCCUGAUGCAGAGGCCCCGCGUGCGUGAAGACCGCCUUUGGGGUGUAAACAGCUUUCGCCUGAGACGAAGCGUUAGUGACGGUAAUGAGUAAAGAAGCACCGGCUAACUACGUG
rnacentral:rRNA from 1 species